rnacentral:lncRNA from 1 species
UCUUGGAAGGCAAGGGAACAUUUGGAAGGUAAGGAUUUAUUCUUGGAAGGCAAGUGGGAACUUGGAAGGCAAGGAUUAUUCUUGGAAGGCAAGGUGCAACUUGGAUUGGCUUGCUUGGCACUUUGUCAGACCAGGUGGGGAGCGCUCGGACCCUGGCCAGUUGGAGGCACAUCCUGCGAUUAACCGGACUGUGUGAAGAGGGGCCGGAUCACAGACCCAAGGAUUAGUCAAGAAUUGGAC